GUAAGUAAGACUAUUGCUCGGGACGCUUCAUCCUAUUAGAACACACUGAUCUGUGGUGACUCUUAGUGUUCACAUAGAAAAGUUAUAGCAUGAGUUAUAGCUGAAAAUAACUGCGAACCCCUCAUGUAGUUAUUAAUCGAUUGUUACUAUUCAAACGUAUGUUUGACUGCUUUGUAUGUAUGUAUGGAUGUAUGUAUGUACGUACGUACAGUAUGCAUGUAGAAGGGCAGACUACAACCUGCAGCACUUACUUCUGUUAUUCCAAGCUCUGUGGGUCCCAGGAAUUGACUUUAGGUCAUCAGGCAUGGUGGUAGGUGCCUUUCCUUGUUCAUUCAUAGUCAGCCCUCAACUGUGCCUUUAAAAUUAAUGUGCACUGGUCAAUUAAUUUUUCUCUGAGCCUUAGUUACCUCUCUUUCUUGAGACAAGGUCUCACUGUAUAGUUCUGGACGGCCUAGAACUUGAUAUAUAGACCAGGCUGGUCUUGAACUCGCAGAGAUUCACUUGUCUGCCUUGUGAGUGAUAAGACUAAGGGCAUGUGCUAUUACUCCCAGCAUCAUGGAUUUUUUAAAAGGCUUUGCAGAUUCCUUUGAUUCGGAUUCCCUUCUUGAUGUUAUAUUUAUUGUUGGAGGAGUGUAUGUUAUACUGUACAGAACUCUCUGUAUCAGGACAAAGGGAAGAACAUUUUCCUAGUCCUUGGCAGUAGAUCAUAUGUUUCUUCUAGAAAAUUCAUUUGUUUUAGUUUUCUGGAGAUGAUAGCUCUUAGAGAUAAUCAUAUUUCUGUUAUUACAGAAUUGGAAAAUUCAAGCCCAUAUAAAGAUGGGAAUAAGAUAAUUUUUACUAGUGCCAAGGGGUGUGACACACCUAGUAAUAAGCUUAAAAAGAAAUGAAAAAUUUACACUUUACAAUUUGCAGUCUUAGUUCAAACAAAGAGGUACUGGCCCAAUGACUGACAUGUAUGGAUCUGUGGGAGAGAACUGAGAAACAGGAAGGGAGCCAUACAUGAUCCACUGGUUUUAACAAGACUGUGGAGACGGACUAUUUCGCGUAGGAGAGAACAGUCUUUGUGCCGAGUGGUUAAACUAGCUGAUUGCUUUAUACAAAUGCUAACCCGAAAGAACUGCUAACCCGAAAGAACUGCUUCUAAGAACAGAAUUAAAACCCUCUUAGAAAGCAUAGGCAAGUAUUCAUGACUUUCUAGUUAGUAAGGAAUUUUUAUACAGGACACCAAAAGCAUGAGCAACAAAUAAACAUAAAAACUACAUUUCAUCAAAGUUAAAAACCUUUGUGCUCAAAUGCCAUCAUUAGUAGAAAGUGAAAAGAAAUUGUGAAUGGUGUAUAGACUUGGGAGCCUGAGGCAGAAGGAUUGUGAAUUUGAAGUCAUAUUGGAUACAUAAGGUUUCUUUUCUUUUCUUUUCUUUUCUUUUCUUUUCUUUUCUUUUCUUUUCUUUUCUUUUCUUCCUCUUUCUUUUCUUUCUUUUUUAAAAAAGAUUUAUUUUAUGUGUAUGAACACACUGUCACUGUCUUUAGACAGUGAAAUGACCAGAAAUGGACAUCUGAUACCAUUACAAAUGAUUGUGAGCCACCAUGUGGUUGCUAGGGUUUGAACUCAUGACUUUCCGAAGAGCAGUCAGUGCUCUUAACUGUUGAGCCAUCUUUCUAGCCCAAGACUUUGUUUCUUUUACUCCUCAUAAAAUGUAAAAAAAUAUUUUUGCCCACUUUGUAUCUAAGAAAGGACUUGUAUCCAGAGUAUAUAAUGAACUUUAACUCACUAACAAAAAGACAUAAAUACCUUAAUAGACAAAAUAUAUUCAAUAUUUCUUCAAAAAGACCUGUAAUUAACCAGUAAGUCCAUGUAAAGCUCACUAGCAGCCACUUGUCAGAUAAGUGCAGACAGUACCAUCUAUGUCAUGUCCUCCACAGCAAGGAGUAUAUAAAAAUGUCUUUAACCAGCCUAGCAUGUCUAUGGAGAACUAUAAAAACAAUUGAUUCAUUG
rnacentral:lncRNA from 1 species